AGCGAACGCUGGCGGCAGGCCUAACACAUGCAAGUCGAACGAACUCUUCGGAGUUAGUGGCGGACGGGUGAGUAACACGUGGAACGUGCCUUUAGGUUCGGAAUAACUCAGGGAAACUUGUGCUAAUACCGAAUGUGCCCUUCGGGGGAAAGAUUUAUCGCCUUUAGAGCGGCCCGCGUCUGAUUAGCUAGUUGGUGAGGUAAAGGCUCACCAAGGCGACGAUCAGUAGCUGGUCUGAGAGGAUGAUCAGCCACAUUGGGACUGAGACGCGGCCCAAACUCCUACGGGAGGCAGCAGUGGGGAAUCUUGCGCAAUGGGCGAAAGCCUGACGCAGCCAUGCCGCGUGAAUGAUGAAGGUCUUAGGAUUGGUAAAAUUCUUUCUACCGGGGACGAUAAUGACGGUACCCGGAGAAGAAGCCCCGGCUAACUUCGUGCCAGCAGACCGCGGUAAU
rnacentral:rRNA from 1 species